rnacentral:rRNA from 1 species
GACGAACCGUACAAACGUUAUUCGGAAUCACUGGGCUUAAAGGGUGCGUAGGCGGCUCAGAAAGUUGGGUGUGAAAUCCCUCGGCUCAACCGAGGAACUGCGCCCAAAACUACUGAGCUCGAGGGAGACAGAGGUAAGCGGAACUUAGGGUGGAGCGGUGAAAUGCGUUGAUAUCCUAAGGAACACCAGUUGCGAAAGCGGCUUACUGGGUCUCUUCUGACGCUGAGGCACGAAAGCUAGGGGAGCGAACGGG